rnacentral:rRNA from 1 species
UAACACGUAAACAACCUGCCUUCAGGAUGGGGACAACAGACGGAAACGACUGCUAAUACCGAAUAAGUUCCAAGGGCCGCAUGGCCCAUGGAAGAAAAGGUGGCCUCUACCUGUAAGCUAUCGCCUGAAGAGGGGUUUGCGUCUGAUUAGCUGGUUGGAGGGGUAACGGCCCACCAAGGCGACGAUCAGUAGCCGGUCUGAGAGGAUGAACGGCCACACUGGAACUGAGACACGGUCCAGACUCCUACGGGAGGCAGCAGUGGGGAAUCUUCCGCAAUGGGCGAAAGCCUGACGGAGCAACGCCGCGUGAGUGAUGACGGCCUUCGGGUUGUAAAACUCUGUGAUCCGGGACGAAAAGGCAGAGUGCGAAGAACAAACUGCAUUGACGGUACCGGAAAAGCAAGCCACGGCUAACUACGUGCCAGCAGCCGCGGUAAUACGUAGGUGGCAAGCGUUGUCCGGAAUUAUUGGGCGUAAAGCGCGCGCAGGCGGCUUCCCAAGUCCCUCUUAAAAGUGCGGGGCUCAACCCCGUGAUGGGAAGGAAACUGGGAAGCUGGAGUAUCGGAGAGGAAAGUGGAAUUCCUAGUGUAGCGGUGAAAUGCGUAGAGAUUAGGAAGAACACCGGUGGCGAAGGCGACUUUCUGGACGAAAACUGACGCUGAGGCGCGAAAGCGUGGGGAGCAAACAGGAUUAGAUACCCUGGGUAGUCCACGCCGUA